rnacentral:rRNA from 1 species
GUGGGGAAUUUUGGACAAUGGGCGAAAGCCUGAUCCAGCAAUGCCGCGUGUGUGAAGAAGGCCUUCGGGUUGUAAAGCACUUUUGUCCGGAAAGAAAUCUGUCUGGCUAAUACCUAGAUGGGAUGACGGUACCGGAAGAAUAAGCACCGGCUAACUACGUGCCAGCAGCCGCGGUAAUACGUAGGGUGCGAGCGUUAAUCGGAAUUACUGGGCGUAAAGCGUGCGCAGGCGGUUUUGUAAGACCGAUGUGAAAUCCCCGGGCUUAACCUGGGAACUGCAGUGGUGAAUGCAAGGCUAGAGUGCGUCAGAGGGGGGUGGAAUUCCGCGUGUAGCAGUGAAAUGCGUAGAGAUGCGGAGGAACACCGAUGGCGAAGGCAGCCCCCUGGGAUGACACUGACGCUCAUGCACGAAAGCGUGGGGAGCGAACGGGAUUAGAUACCCUGGUAGUCC